AUUGAACGCUGGCGGCAGGCCUAACACAUGCAAGUCGAACGAGUGGCGGACGGGUGCGUAAUGUCUGGGAAACUGCCUGAUGGAGGGGGAUAACUACUGGAAACGGUAGCUAAUACCGCAUACCAUCGAAUGUGCCCAGAUGGGAUUAGUUAGUAGGAGGGGUAAAGGCUCACCUAGGCGACGAUCCCUAGCGGGUCAGAGAGGAUGACCAGCCACACUGUAACUGAGACACGGGCCAGACUACUACGGGAUGCAGCAGUGGGGAAUAUUGCACAAUGGGCGCAAGCCUGAUGCAGCCAUGCCGCGUGUAUGAAGAAGGCCUUCGAGUUGGAAAGUACUUUCAGCGGAGAGGCGUGACCCACAGAAGAAGCACGGGCUAACUCCGUGCCAGCCGCCGCGGUAAUUC
rnacentral:rRNA from 1 species